rnacentral:rRNA from 1 species
CCUACAUGAAUCUCGGGUUACUAGUAAUCGCAGACCAGAAUGCUGCGGUGAAUGCGUUCCCGGGUCUUGUACACACCGCCCGUCACACCAAGGGAGUUGGAGACGCCCGAAGCCGAUUAUCUAACCUGUUGGAAGAAGUCGUGGAAGGUGGAAUCAAUAACUGGGGUGAAGUCGUAACAAGGUAGCCGUAUCGGAAGGUGCGGCUGGAUCACCUCCUUUCUAAGGAGA